CGGGGGCUCAUUCGAGCGACCUCGGACCACAAUGCCAGCAUGGACUUUGCAGACCUUCCAGCUCUGUUUGGGGCUACCUUGAGCCAGGAGGGCCUCCAGGGGUUCCUUGUGGAGGCUCACCCAGACAAUGCCUGCAGCCCCAUUGCCCCACCACCCCCAGCCCCGGUCAAUGGGUCAGUCUUUAUUGCGCUGCUUCGAAGAUUCGACUGCAACUUUGACCUCAAGGUCCUAAAUGCCCAGAAGGCUGGAUAUGGUGCCGCUGUAGUACACAAUGUGAAUUCCAAUGAACUUCUGAACAUGGUGUGGAAUAGUGAGGAAAUCCAGCAGCAGAUCUGGAUCCCGUCUGUAUUUAUUGGGGAGAGAAGCUCCGAGUACCUGCGUGCCCUCUUUGUCUACGAGAAGGGGUAGGACAUGUACCUCCUUCCCAUUCUUCCUUCAGCAAGCAGUUCCAUGCCAACCUGGAGCCCAGGCCUCCUCAUUACCCGAACCAUUCAGCCUCCU
rnacentral:sRNA from 1 species